UACAGAGGUCUCAAGCGUUGUUCGGAAUUACUGGGCGUAAAGGGCUCGUAGGCGGCCAACUAAGUCAGACGUGAAAUCCCUCGGCUUAACCGGGGAACUGCGUCUGAUACUGGAUGGCUUGAGUUUGGGAGAGGGAUGCGGAAUUCCAGGUGUAGCGGUGAAAUGCGUAGAUAUCUGGAGGAAUACCGGUGGCGAAGGCGGCAUCCUGGACCAUUACUGACGCUGAGGCGCGAAAAGCUAGGGGAGCAAACGGG
rnacentral:rRNA from 1 species